GCAUUUUGGAACAAUCGUCCUGGUUUUGGUUGAGAGCACAACUUAGAGAACAGAGGCUAGAGGUGGCAGGCUGGAGUGACAGCCUACUGCAGCUGUCCAGCCAAUUAAGCCCUGUAGGAAGAAUGGCUGAUGCCGCAGUCUAUGUGAUGCUGAACAGCGGUAGCCAGGCUGACCUGGCCCCAAUCUCCGGCUGUGACUGACCUUCAGAUGCAGGCAGCAGAGGGAAGAGGACAAAAGUGCACCGCUGGGGAAAGGCAAGCAGCUGGCACCCAGGGCACCAAAGACCCGCACAUGAGACUCAUGGAUCUGAAACUUGAAGAGCAAAGCUACGGACACCUUCAACCUUGGAGCCAUUGCCUCUGCCCUGAGUGGCUACUAGGCAUGGGAGCAGUGGGAAAUGGGCUUGGAGAUAGCACCCGAGGACCCCCGAGAAAUCCCAUCUCACUAUAUGGAGUGAUGUGAUCAACUUCCAGCUCAGCUCAGAGAAGAUGAAGGGACUCUUCUAGAUUAGCCAAGCACAUUGGUGGAUCUGGAACCCAGUUAUUCCGAGAGCCCACUCGACAAAAAAGAGAACAAAAACAGCCAACACCAUCGACCCUGUGCCAAUCACUGUGCUAGGUAAUUUGCAUAGAUUAUUUUAUGGAAUC
rnacentral:lncRNA from 1 species